rnacentral:tRNA from 1 species
GCGGGGGUUGCCGAGCCUGGCCAAAGGCGCGGGACUUAAGAUCCCGUCCCAUAGGGGUUCGUGGGUUCAAAUCCCACCCCCCGCA